UACGUAGGUGGCGAGCGUUGUCCGGAAUUACUGGGUGUAAAGGGAGCGUAGGCGGGAGUGCAAGUUGAAUGUUAAAUCUAUCGGCUCAACCGAUAGCCGCGUUCAAAACUGCAUUUCUUGAGUGAAGUAGAGGUUGGCGGAAUUCCUAGUGUAGCGGUGAAAUGCGUAGAUAUUAGGAGGAACACCAGUGGCGAAGGCGGCCAACUGGGCUUUACUGACGCUGAGGCUCGAAAGCGUGGGGAGCAAACAGGAUUAGAUACCCGGGUAGGUCCCUGA
rnacentral:rRNA from 1 species